rnacentral:rRNA from 1 species
GUCUGUUUGAAGCUAUAAAGAGUCUAGCCUGCCCAUUGAUCAACGUUAGUUAAAAGGCCGCGGUAUUUUAACCGUGCAAAGGUAGCAUAAUCAUUAGAUUUUUAAUUGAAAUCUUGUAUGAAAGGUUGAACGAAAGAAAUUCUGUCUUUAUAUUAGAGUUAAAAUUUAACUUUUAAGUGAAAAGGCUUAAAUAAUUUAAAGGGACGAUAAGACCCUAUAAAACUUUACAUUCUAGUUUGAUUAAUUUGAAUUAAGGAGAUAAAGAAUUUGUUUAGUAGUUUGUUUUGUUGGGGUGACAAAGAUAAAAUUUUUAUUAACUGUUUUAAAGUUAGUCAAUAAUUUAUGAAAAUAUAGGAGAUCCUUUAUUAAGAUUUGAAGAUUAAGUUACUUUAGGGAUAACAGCGUUAUUUUUUUUGAGAGUUCUUAUCGAAAAAGAAUUUACGACCUCGAUGUUGAAUUAAAAUAUCUAUAUAGUGCAGAGGCUAUGUAAGAGGGUCUGUUCGACCUUUAAAAUUUUACAUGAUUUGAGUUCAAACCGGUGUGAG